rnacentral:tRNA from 1 species
GCGGAGGUAUCCAAGCUAGGCCAAAGGAGAUGGACUCAAGAUCCAUUCUCGCAGGAGUUCAAGGGUUCGAAUCCCUUCCUCCGCA